rnacentral:rRNA from 1 species
UACGUAGGGGGCAAGCGUUGUCCGGAUUUAUUGGGCGUAAAGGGCGCGUAGGCGGCUUGGCAAGUGGAUGGUGAAAUCCCUCGGCUCAACCGAGGAACUGCCGUCCAAACUGCUUGGCUUGAGACCGGGAGAGGUGAGUGGAAUUCCCAGUGUAGCGGUGAAAUGCGUAGAUAUUGGGAGGAACACCAGUGGCGAAGGCGGCUCACUGGACCGGUACUGACGCUGAGGCGCGAAAGCGUGGGGAGCAAACGGG